UUAAUCCUAUUUUAACCAGGUUUUGCUAGGUCAGGAGGCUAAAAGAUGGAAACAGAAACAUCACAAUAAAAUACAUGUGACCUAAAUGGAAGUUCCAAAGCCAGAUGUCACUGACGAAUCAUCCCUGUAUGGAGAAUGAAGUCAGGAAUGCUGGAAUAAAGAUUGUGAGCCCUGAUGAAGUAAACAGGGUUUUGUAACCAACAGUGCCUUGAAUUAUCUUUCCAAGAAGGGUUUUCCUCAGAUGACAGAAGUAUCCUGCAUAUAAUCAUUAGACUGUGGUCCCAAAGGAACCUCCAAAAAGACAUCAACAGUGACCCAGGAGAUUAGCUGCCAGCGACAACCAUCCAAUGGCAACAGAUUGUUCACCUGCUAAUUUGUCUUGUGUUGAAUAAAUUCUGGGCAUAUAAAGGAGAUUCAUGAAGCCUACAGCUUCAGAAUCUUGAAAAUAAAAAGGGAGGAAUGUGAGGGCUAGAAAAAGCUGUGUUUUGCCUUUGGCAUAACUGUAGCCAUUUUGCUUCUGUAAUACUGCUAAAAGCUGAUUAGGGAAUAAAUGAUAGUAAGAAAUUGCAAGCAAAUCUCUUUUUGGGUGUUGUAAGCAUUUCUGAGUUCCAGACAGGACAGGAAGCUAACACUUGAGAAAUGCUUAAGCUUAGAAACCGCAAGCGGAAAGACAGGAAGCCACCUCUUGAUAUAUGUGAUAACAUGUCUGGAGAAACAACUUAUUUGAAUAUAGCCAAUAGCAUUGAUUCUACAGAAAAGGGGAACUGAGGGAGGGGGCUUGUUGCUUGUCACUGCUUGUUAAGGUAUAAAAUUGAUUGUAACUGUUCCUGCUGUGUGCCAUUUCUCUCUUGCAUUGAAAUGGACACCCUUUACUCAGCUGAAUAAAGAUACUUAAUUCUC